AGAGUUUGAUCAUGGCUCAGGACGAACGCUGGCGGCAUGCCUAACACAUGCAAGUCGAACGGAGAUUAUUUCGAUAAUCUUAGUGGCGAACGGGUGAGUAACGCGUGGGCAACCUGCCCUCUAGAUGGGGACAACAUCCCGAAAGGGGUGCUAAUACCGAAUGUGACAGCAAUCUCGCAUGAGGAUGCUGUGAAAGAUGGCCUCUAUUUAUAAGCUAUCGCUAGAGGAUGGGCCUGCGUCUGAUUAGCUAGUUGGUGGGGUAACGGCCUACCAAGGCGAUGAUCAGUAGCCGGUCUGAGAGGAUGGAACGGCCACAUUGGGGACUGAGACACGGCCCAGACUCCUACGGGAGGCA
rnacentral:rRNA from 1 species